GUCCAGUUGAAGAGUCUCAAAUAGGACGAAACGCGCUACCUGGAU
rnacentral:hammerhead_ribozyme from 1 species